UACAGAGGUGGCAAGCGUUGUUCGGAAUUACUGGGCGUAAAGGGCGCGUAGGCGGUCUUCUAAGUCCUGUGUGAAAUCCCUCGGCUCAACUGAGGAACUGCACGGGAUACUGGAAGACUUGAGUUCGGGAGAGGGAAGCGGAAUUCCGGGUGUAGCGGUGAAAUGCGUAGAUAUCCGGAGGAACACCGGUGGCGAAGGCGGCUUCCUGGACCGAUUACUGACGCUGAGGCGCGAAAGCGUGGGGAGCGAACGGG
rnacentral:rRNA from 1 species